rnacentral:lncRNA from 1 species
AUUCUGGGAAGCGGAGUUCCAGCCUUUCUCUUUCCGCGGGAGGGAAUGAAAGGGAGGGUAGACUGAGAACGAAUCAUCUCAGUACAACUGGGAAUUUAGCCACAUAGGGGUUGGAUUCCACCGCAAGUAAAAAGUGGUGGAUGUGCCCAAGACACAGGGAAGAAAAAGAAGUAAACAGGGAAGUACAACACAGACUCUGAAAUGGGGCAUCAUGGAAGACGGAGCUUUGUCGUCUUGGUCUUUGCUGUAUAUUCACUUCCUACAACAGUGCUAAAUACCUUGUGGAUGCUUAAAUAUAUUAAAUGAAUGCAUAAAUGAAAAGAGUAAAUAAAGAGUGUAUAUGAAAGUAUGUAGAUAAAAUUCUUCACUAAGCCUUGGGGAUCCAGCUGCUUAAGGACUAAGACCGUAUCUAGCUCCUUUUAGUAUUUCCACAGCAUGCCAUGGAGAUACAUGUUUCUGAUUAUAUAUGAUACAUGGAAAUUAUAUGUUGUUGAAUGAGUGAUUGAGUAAAUGUGUACUAGGGCAGCUAAUCAUAAAUAUUUCUACUAUUGCUAAAAUGACUGGAUUUAUCCAUUCCUUCUGAGAGUUUAUACUGAUUGCUUAUAUUGUAUCAAAUACCGUAACUGAGGGCAAUGUUUACUCAAACUAAUAGCACCAUUCAAAUUUAUGCAAACAAUAACACUAUAUCUUUAAAAUGUUUUCACUAAAAGCUGCAUAAAGAGUGUAUUCAACAACAAUAGAAUAAUUUUACAAUCUUUUUUCUUGCUUAAUGGCCAUUUGUGCCUUCUGACAUGCUGCUAGCCAUUCAAAGGUCACACUACCUUGAAGUUGAAGAUCAAGACAAAUGAUUAGACUCAUAAAAGACAAAUCACGUCUUUCUGGACAGCUCACAGCCAGCUGUCCCUGAGUCUGGAGUUAAAGCUGGAGUAAAGGUGGAGAGACCAAGGAGACACACCUGUCUCUCAUGACCUCCAAUCUUGAUGAUGUAGGUAACUUGACAGAGAAGAUGAUUCUCUUCACCACAGAGCUGAGCCACACCUGGCCAGAAUCAGGGAAGGUGAAGGAAGAGAUCUGGAGGGAUUUGGGGAAGCUGCAGGGCGGGCUGCUGUCCUCUGCCAAGAUCAGUGACAACGUGUGUGAGCUGCAACUGCACAUGAAUGUUACCAACCUUCUGAGACUUAAAAUUUUCACCUUCUAAAUCUUAGACAAAUUUCUUUUGUAGUAAUGUUAUUUCGAAAUCACGCUGAGAAAGCACUUCUGGGCCAUGUAAUUCCAAAUUAGUUAUAUUGACAAAGUGGCAAGGUAUCCACACUUUAUAGAUUUCUGUGACUUUUUCUCUCAAUAUUUACAUUGCAAGUUGUUUUUUGUAGCUAUAUGUCUUUAAUUUUCAUUAGUCUAUUAUAGUCCAUUAUGUGAAAAAUCUCAAAUGUAUUUUUCCAUUAUCUUGUUUAUGGACAUUUCAAUUGCUUUUAGUGUUUUGCUAUUAUGAAGAAUGCUACUGUGGAUAUUCUUCUAUAUUUCUCGUGAUGUAAUUGUGCAAGCAUUUCUCUACGGCUUAGAAAUAGGAGAACUGAUGUCCAACUUUACAAAAUGGUACCAAAUUGUUUUCCAAAGUUCUUUUUAUGAAAUUUAUACUUCCACCAAUGCCAUGUAGACUUUUUAUUGAUACAUAAUAAUUGUAAAUGUUUAUGGAGUACUUGUGAUAUUUUGAUGCGUGCAAUGUUUGAUGAUCAAACCAGGGUUUCUAGGCUAUCCAUCACCUCAACCAUUUAUCAUUUCUUUAUGUUCGGAACAUUUCAAAUCUUCCCCUCUAGCUAUUUUGAAAUACACAUUAGAUUACUAUUAAUUGUAGUCAGUCAACUGUGCUAUCAAACACUAGAAUUUAUUCCUUCUAUCCCAUGUUUGUACCCAUUAACCAACCUCUCUUCAUCCCCAUUCCCUUCCCAGCCUCUAGUAACCAUCAUUCUACUCUCUACCUCCAUAAGAGGUAGCUCCCACAGAUGAGUGCUAACAGUGAUAUGUGUCUUUCUGUGCCUGGUUUAUUUCACAUAACAUAACGACCUCCAGUUCCAUUGAUGUUGCUGCAAAUAGGAUUUUAUUUUUUAUGGCUGAAUAGUAUUCCAUUCAUCCUGUACAAUUGGGAAACUAUUUGCAAAUUAUUCAUUGAACAAUGUACUAAUAUCCAGAAUAUGUAAGUAACUCAAACAGCUCAAUGACAAAAAAACAAAUAAUCCCAUCAAAAAGUGGGCAAAGGAUCUUAAUAGACAUUUCUUAAAAGAAGACAUACAAAUGACAACAGGUAUAUGAAAAAAUACUCAACAUCACUAAUCAUCAGGGAAAUGCAAAUAAAAGACAAUGAGAUAUCAUCUCACCUCUGGUAAAAUGGCCGUUAUUAGAAAGACAAAAAAUGACAAGUGCUGGUGAAGAUGAGGAGAAGGUGGAACUUUUAUACACUGUUGGUGGAAAUAUAAAUUAGUAUAACCAUUAUGGAAAACAGUAUGAAAGAUUCUCAAAAAACUAAAAAAAGAACUAUUGUAUGCUCCAGCAAUUCCACUAGUGGGUACUUAUCCAGCAGACAGGAAAUCAGUCAUCAAAAGAAUACCUGCACCCCCAUGUUUUAUAUUGGCACUAUUCACAAUAGCCACAUAGACUUUUAAUUGAGCUACAUACUUGCCAACACUUAGCAUUUAUCAUGCUGGUCAAUAUUUUCUAGUCUGAUGAAAGUAAAAUGACAUCUGUUUGUGAUAUUUAUUUGCAUUUUUCUAAUUGUUAAUGAAAUUAAAUAAUUUUUCAUAAGUUUACUCUCCAUUUUUUAUUUUCUAUAAAUGCUUG